rnacentral:rRNA from 1 species
GAUGAACGCUAGCGGCAGGCUUAAUACAUGCAAGUCGAGGGGUAGCAAGAUUGUAGCAAUACAAUUGUUGACGACCGGCAAACGGGUGCGGAACACGUACACAACCUUCCUACAAGUGGGGAAUAGCCCAGAGAAAUUUGGAUUAAUACCCCGUAACAUAGCGAUGUGGCAUCACAUUGCUAUUAUAGCUUCGGCGCUUGUUGCUGGGUGUGCGGCUGAUUAGAUAGUUGGCGGGGUAACGGCCCACCAAGUCUACGAUCAGUAGCUGAUGUGAGAGCAUGAUCAGCCACACGGGCACUGAGACACGGGCCCGACUCCUACGGGAGGCAGCAGUAAGGAAUAUUGGACAAUGGACGCAAGUCUGAUCCAGCCAUGCCGAGUGAAGGAUUAAGGUCCUCUGGAUUGUAAACUUCUUUUAUAAGGGACGAAAAAAGGUCUUUCUAGAUCGUCUGACGGUACCUUAUGAAUAAGCACCGGCUAACUCCGUGCCAGCCGCCGCGGUAAGAC